rnacentral:lncRNA from 1 species
GGAUGAUCUAUCAACUCUCCCUGCAACAUUUGGAGGAUUUUCACUUCCUUUUAAUCAGGAGCAGGCUGUUCUCAGAGGAUCACCUUGCCUCCCACUGCCCUACUUGCUCCCAAAGCAGACAGCGAGAAUUUGAUUUUACUAUCAGAGCUAGGACUGCGGGAAAAGGGCAGCAGGUCGGAAAAAGACUGGCCCUGAGCUAACAUCUGUGCCCAUCUUCCUCUACUUUGUAUGUGGGACGCCUACCACAGCAUGGCAUGCCAAGCGGUGCCAUGUCCACGCCCGGGAUUCGAACCGGCGAAUGCUGGGCUGCCAAGAAGCGGAACGUGCACACUUAAC